UAAGAGGUGACGCUGGGCUACAUCAAAAUUAACUGGGAAACUCUUUCUGAUGAACUGGUGUCUGUACAAUAGGAAGAGAUGGAAGACUAGAAAACAGGAAUUGCUCAGAAAGGAAUUGAGCUCUUUGGAUGGGAAACAAGAACUCCGAUGGAAUGCAGGAGGAAGGAUUGAGCAAGAGAGAAGGAAAGUGGCUGCCAACCUGUCCAAGUGGAGAAAAAGACCUUAAACACAACAGGGGACUUCAUGCGUCUCUAAAUGCUUUGGCAGGUUUCUUUGCCUACAUCAGCCUCACACUGGAAUGCAAGGAAAGAAUUAUAUCCUUUUCCCACUGCUGUGGUAUUUCAGCUGAAAUCAGCCUCAUCAAAGCAGCAACUAUGUACCAAGGGGUUGACAAAUAGAGGAAAUUUGUGAAGCUGGGCUUCUUGGCAAGUGUUUUGUCCUUGGAAAUUCUGUUCCUCUCAGCCUUCUGGGGGCUCGCUCUGUCACCCAGGUCGGAGUGUAAUGGUGUGAUCACAGCUCACUGCAGCCUCAACCUUCUGGGCUCAAGUGAUCCUUAUGCCUCAGCCUCCUGAGCAACUGGGACUACAGGCAUGUGCCACCAUGCCCAGGGCAGCAGACAGAGCCUGUGUUCUGUUGGCUACAGCUGUGCUCCAGCCCCCGAGGGCCUGCGGAAGAGACAACGUCUCAGGGGGACCAGACAGAAGUCCAACAUAAAAAGACAAUGCUUCAGAAUGCCCUGCUGGAGUGCAGUGGCGAUCUCGGCUCACUGUAGCCUCUGCCUCCCGGGUUCAAGCGAUUCUCCUGCCUCAGCCCCGUGAGUAGCUGAGACAACAGGCUUGCGCCACCACGCCCGGCCAAUAUUUGUAUUUCUAGUAGAGACGGGGUUUUGCCAUGUUGGCCAGCUGGUCUUGAACUCCUGACAUCAGGUGAUCUGUCCGUCUCAGCCUCCCAAAGUGCUGGGAUUACGCGUGAGCCACUGUGCCCAGCCACCACUUUACUUUCUUAAUAAACUUGCUUUUACUUUGCACUGUGGACUUACUCUGAAUUGUUUCUUGCGUGAGAUCGAAGAACCCUCUCUUGGGGUCUAGAUCGGGACCCCUUUCCUGUAACACAUGGGCCUUGGGCUGAUCUCCAAGAUUAAGAGGGCAAGAUACUCAGCUGCAAGGGUCAGCUGUCGCUGACCCCAGCAGCUGCUCUGC
rnacentral:lncRNA from 1 species